AUUGAACGCUGGAGGCAGGCUUAACACAUGCAAGUCGAGCGGGGUGAUGGUGCUUGCACUAUCACUUAGCGGCGGACGGGUGAGUAAUGCUUAGGAAUCAGCCUAUUAGUGGGGGACACCAUCUCUAAAGGGAGUCUAAUACCGCAUACGUCCGACGGGAGAAAGCAGGGGAUAACUUGUGACCUUUCGCUAAUCGAUGCGCCUAAGCCGGAUUCGCUGGUGGGUGGGGUAAAGGCCUACAAAGGCGACGACCUGUAGCGGGUCUGAGAGGAUGAGCAGCCACACUGGGAAUGGGACACGGCCCAGACUGCUACGGGAGGCAGCAGGGGGGAAAAUUGGACAAUGGGGGGAACCCUGAUCCAGCCAUGCAGGGUGUGUGAAGAAGGCCUUAUGGUUGUAAAGCACUUUAAGCGAGGAGGAGGCUCUUUUGGUUAAUGCCCAAGAUGAGUGGACGUUAGUCGCAGAAUAAGCACCGGCUAACUCUGUGCCAGCCGCCGCGGUAA
rnacentral:rRNA from 1 species